rfam:Brassica napus, WGS project CCCW01000000 data, contig: 6431
UCACUUACCUGGAUGGGGUCAACUCGUGAUCAAGAAGACGAGUGGCCUAGGCCAGUGACUUCCAUUGCACUCUAAGGAUGGGUGCUUAGCCUAAGGUCUCCCCAAGUGGGAGAGCCUGCGUCAUUAUUUGUGGCAGAGGGGGCCUGCGUACGCGUGGUCCCUGC